rnacentral:rRNA from 1 species
AGGACGAACGCUGGCGGCGUGCUUAACACAUGCAAGUCGAGCGGAAAGGCUUCCUUCGGGAAGUACUCGAGCGGCGAACGGGUGAGUAACACGUGGAUAAUCAACCUCUUGCUCUGGAAUACCCCGGGGAAACUCGGAUCAAUGCCAGAUAAAGUGCGGUGCUGUUGGGUGCCGUACCAAAGAUAGCUUCGGCCUUCGGCGAGAGACGAGUCCGCGGCCCAUUAGCUAGUUGGCGGGGUAAUCGGCCCACCGAAGGCUACGAGUGGGUAGCUGGUCUGAGAGG